rnacentral:rRNA from 1 species
AUUGAACGCUGGCGGCAGGCCUAACACAUGCAAGUCGAGCGGAGGGGCGGAAGGGGGAGGAAUGCCUAGGAAUCUGCCUGGUCGUGGGGGAUAACGUCGAGAAAAGGGCGCUAAUACCGCAUACUAUCAGAUGAGCCUAGGGCGGCAUAGCAAGUUGGUGGGGUAAAGUCCUACCAAGGCGACGAUCCGUAACUGGUCUGAUAGUAUGAUCAGUCACACGGGAACUGAGAUACGGUCCAUACUCCUACGGGAGGCAGCAGUGGGGAAUAUGGGACAAUGGGCGAAAGCCUGAUCCAGCCAUGCCGCGUGUGUGAAGAAGUGCUUCGGAUUGUAAAGCACUUUAAGUUGGGAGGCGUUACCAACAGAAUAAGCACCGGCUAACGUCGUGCCAGCAGCCGCGGUAAUAC